UAUGAAAAGUUAUAAAAUGGUCAU
rnacentral:miRNA from 1 species